GCACUGGAUAGCUCAGUUGGUUAGAGCAUGGCGCUGAUAAUGUCAUGGUUGCAGGUUCAAUCCCUGUAUGGGACAGCUCCAUUGCA